rnacentral:rRNA from 1 species
AGAAUUUGAUCUUGGUUCAGGAUGAACGCUAGCUACAGGCUUAACACAUGCAAGUCGGGGGGCAGCAUGAAGUCAGCUUGCUGACUUUGAUGGCGACCGGCGCACGGGUGAGUAACGCGUAUCCAACCUACCCCUUAGUAGGGCAUAGCCCGUAGAAAUGCGGAUUAAUACCCUAUGUUUUUCCGAGGAUGGCAUCUGACUUGGAACAAAGAUUCAUCGCUAGGGGAUGGGGAUGCGUCCGAUUAGCUUGCCGGCGGGGUAACGGCCCACCGGGGCGACGAUCGGUAGGGUUCUGAGAGGAAGGUCCCCCACACUGGUACUGAGACACGGACCAGACUCCUACGGGAGGCAGCAGUGAGGAAUAUUGGUCAAUGGGCGCGAGCCUGAACCAGCCAAGUAGCCGUGCAGGACGACGGCCCUACGGGUUGUAAACUGCUUUUAUCAGGGGAUAAAGUGCGGGACGUGUCCCUCAUUGCAGGUACCUGAUGAAUAAGGACCGGCUAAUUCCGUGCCAGCCGCGGC